AUUUUAAAAAUGAGGAUUUUGACAUUAUAAAUGAUCGUACAAUUUUCUAUUGUUAUAUGGGAAUAAGGAAAAAUAUGGCUGAAAUUCUCAAAUUUGUUUAUAUUAUGAUUAUUUUUCUUUUCAUCACUGAAAUCAAAGGCGGUAAGUUUGUUUUUGACAGAAAUCGCGGAGAUCGAUGCCGUUCUAUUCUAGAUUGUCCUCAAGACAAGUGUUUCCCUCUUCUAACUUUAGUAUGCACAAAUUUUAUUUGUGAUUGUCUGCACGUGUAGCAAAUAAAAU